GUGCUUACCUUAAAGUAUUGUAGAGUUCGAUUCAAGAAUAUUGGGAUUAACAGGACCAGAUAGCGCCAUAAGGCAGAUGGCACAGGAAUACCGUGUUUAUUUCAAGAAGGUCGAGGAGGAAGGGGGUGAUUAUCUUGUUGAGUCUUCCCACGGCAUGUAUUUGAUGAACCCAAACAUGGAGGUUGUUAGAUGUUUUGGGGUUGAGUACACUUCAGAAGAACUAGCAGUAGAAAUACUAAAGCAACUGAAGAAAACUCCAGCAACUUGAUCAUUCAAAUCCCUUUCAAGCCACCUACCGAGGAAACUACCUCAUUUUCGGACCUUUCCAGGUAAUAAGAGAAGAAAAAACUCCAUGUAUGACUUUU